UUCAAUGUAAGACAGCCACAAGACUAUAUGCAACAACUUUCAAUCAGUUUCAAUACAUGUAUGCAAGCAGAUUCAAUCAAUCACAACAAGCAUCACUAUGAACUGGAGUUAAGCAUAUUAAACAAUCUCAAUCACCAAACAAAGCUCUUUAAGCAUCCUGGGACAGAUUCUAACAUUCAUUUAGCAUCCUUUAAACAAUCCUCAGGUUUUCAAUCACACCACAACACAACAACCAGAUUUUAUCACAAGCUCAUUAUCACUUAAGGUUUAAAGAAUCACUUACUACUAAGGAACCAGGUUGGUCCUUGUAUCACCCUCGGAUUGAAAGCUCAUGACUUUGAGGGUAUGAGAGUCUGGAUCGUUACCCAUCUCCUUCUCCUUCAGUUCAUGACUUCCUCCUUGUUUCUCAUACUCACAAAACCCCUCCUUUCUUCAAGCCCUCUACUCGCCAUCUUCUGGAUAGCUUUCUCUUCACACCGGAUGAGGAACAGCCUUUGGACAAGGCGCCAUGGACAAGGUUCGCGAGGCCUCUCCACCCAACAGGCUGGUUUAUCUUGAUCUCCUUGUCUUGAUCCAAGACCCACGAUUUUGGCUAUCUCCUGGAGCCUCUCCUCUUGUGCUCUCAGCCUUGAUCUGGUUACUGGUCCACUAACACGCCAUGCUUCAGUCUUCUUCUUCUUGAAGUAACCAGAACCGCAAGUACAUGUCUUCAAGGCUUUGAUUUGAGCUGAGGUGAGAGCAAGUGAUUUGCGGAAGCUACAGCUCAGGUUCUGAUGAACCUGGCUCUGAUACCAUGUGAGAUUUAUAGAGUUCUCUUCUCUGGUUGUGUUUGUGUGUGUAUAAACUCCAAUGGAGAAAGAUUAGAGCUUGCUCUAGGUGAUUUAGAAAGAGAUUGAUAAGAGUGUUUAUGAGAGAAUAAGAGACUUAGAACCAGAGAUUAAGAGACUGAAAGAUUAAGAGAAUAAGUGUUUAGAGAUUAGAGUUUCAGAUUCAAGAACUAGUUUUCAUUUCCAUGAAGUGGAGAGGGUAAAUCCCCCUUACUCCCUUAACCUUUACAAAUCGCCAACCUUAGGCUUAUAUAUGCCUUUACAAGAGCAAAUCAUAAACCUAAAUCUAAUGGCUGAUAAUACUUGAAGUUUAAAUGGAUGGUGUAGAUGAGCUGGUCUUGUUUGUCAUGAGGAGAAGGUGAUCUGAUUGGAAAGAAGAGGCUGGCGCCUCAUUGGCUCAUUCAAACUAGGCUGGCUCUUGAUUGGUUCUUCUUUGGCUCCUUUGUAUCAAGCUUGGAAUCAGUCUAGGUUCAUAGUCAAGGCUGCCUUUACUUUACAGCCAAGGCCAGCCUGUCUUGAACCUUAUCCACGUCCAAAGCUCCUCCAAGGGAUCUCCACUUGAUUCCCUUUUGAUGCCAUCUGAUCAGAACCUUAUCCAUUCGCCCAACACCUUUUCUUUAUGUCCCAAGCUUUGCACAACACCAUCAGGAGGUGUACGGACCAUUCCAUAUCCGUACCCUUGCGCCCUAACUUUGCACAAAGCUUAAAACACCCAAAUGGUCGAGUCUGCACUUCUAGGGUAGUCCACCGUCCGUACUGAUCCGUACAUGGCCGUACAGCCUCGCCCUAUCUUUGCACACUCGCCCAUUUGCUUCUCAACACUCUUCUAAGUCUCUCCUAGACUUUACCCUUACUUUAGAACAUCCAUCAGAUCACUUCUCUACACCUUCAGAUACUUCAUAACUCUUGAUAGGCAUUCUCCAUAGCUCUUGCCCUAUCUUUGUACAAGCCACAUCUCAACUCCACACCUUUGCCUUCUCCAUUUCUUUUCUUCAAGUUAACACUCCCCCUCAAGCUUGACUUUAGCUGAUCCUAAGUCAAGCUUGGAACCUUGAAGAACUUCCUCAUUAAAAACCUAACCAAGGAAAACCCUUUGGGACAAAACCUUGAUGAGGAAAAAAGAGUAAAGCCUCCAAGGCCUAGGGAUUGGCCAGUGAGUCAUUGUGCCUUACCGACAAUGUAAGGGACACAAAGACUCUGGAUCAUGGCCCUCAUAUGAUGCAAGAUAGAACCCACUCCUCUUGCUCAUCAUCAACACUUCUUGUACUCUUCUUCAGAUAGAUCUUGGUCUCUCCCCCUUUCUCACAACCUUCUUGUUGUGUAUCAAGUGCUCGGACUACCAGAUCUUCUUUGAUAGAUACAAGCUGAGUCUUGGCUGCUUCUUCUUCAUGAGUCACCACCAUGUUACUGAAACCUUCAUGACAGGAUGCUUCAGACUGUAGUACCAAUCACCUCACUCUAGAGGCCGCAUUGGUGAUUGCUUCUUCAUCCUUCAUUACCCUUCAUAACUGAUCUGCUCCUCUUCUUGAAUAACCACCAAGUACUCUCAGAUCAUGUAAGCUUCAACACUCCCCCUCAAGCUUGAGACUCUUACAGGAACAAGCUUGGAUGGAUAGCUUCAUAAUCUGUACCAUUACUCCAUUGCAACACCUUCUGAACUCGCCAUCUUCAUGGAGUGCUUGUGGAAGCUUCAGCUACCUCUUCAGCCACCUCACUUUAGAAGCCGCACUGAUAGAGUCUUCAUCUUCUCACAGCCAAGAGUGCUCUGAACACUCUCUUGCCUAGACACGCCACUGCCUAGACCCUGAUGGCUCCUUCUUUUUCAGUUGCUUGCAAUGGACCUCCUGAACCUUCUUGGUCCGACUGAUAGCUCACUAAACUCCCCUCCUCAAGCUUGGAUUGAGUAUAGGUCCAAGCUUGCAAGUGAGCUUCAGUGAGACUACACACCAGUGGCGCAUCACCACUCUUGUAUCAACUCUCCAUUGCACACACAAUGGGCAAACGUCUCCUACUUUCAACUCUGAUGGAUGGUGAACCAAGAACACAUCUUGUGAACCUGAAACAUCACUCAAACUCCAGCAAAGAUGAGACACAAUAGUAUUGAGAUCAUUCCUUGAUAAAUCAUCAAGUUUGAUUCCCAAUAUCACAAGCAAUGCAACAGAUUAAACAAGACAGUAUCAAGUUCUAAUCUUUGCAAGCAAACUCUCUAAGCACAAGCACUUUCUUUUCCAGAUUUAUGCAAGCUACUUAGGCAUUUUUAAGGCUUCUUUACUCAGCAAUUUAGACAUGAAUCUAAUGCUUCAAUGUAAGACAGCCACAAGACUAUAUGCAACAACUUUCAAUCAGUUUCAAUACAUGUAUGCAAGCAGAUUCAAUCAAUCACAACAAGCAUCACUAUGAACUGGAGUUAAGCAUAUUAAACAAUCUCAAUCACCAAACAAAGCUCUUUAAGCAUCCUGGGACAGAUUCUAACAUUCAUUUAGCAAUCUUUAAACAAUCCUCAGGUUUUCAAACACAUCACAACACAACAACCAGAUUUUAUCACAAGCUCAUUAUCACUUAAGGUUUAAAGAAUCGCUUACUACCAAGGAACCAGGUUGGUCCUUGUAUCAUCCUCGGAUUGAAAGCUCAUGACUUUGAGGGUAUGAGAGACUGGAUCGUUACCCAUCUCCUUCUCCUUCAGUUCAUGACUUCCUCCUUGUUUCUCAUACUCACAAAACCCCUCCUUUCUUCAAGCCCUCUACUCGCCAUCUUCUGGAUAGCUUUCUCUUCACACCGGAUGAGGAACAGCCUUUGGACAAGGCGCCAUGGACAAGGUUCGCGAGGCCUCUCCACACACCUUUGCUUCCAACAAGAGUCUUCAUCAGGUACAGGUCGGAAUGGCUGAGAGAUAUGGAGUAACACGCCAUGCUUCAGUCUUCUUCUUCUUGAAGUAACCAGAACCGCAAGUACAUGUCUUCAAGGCUUUGAUUUGAGCUGAGGUGAGAGCAAGUGAUUUGCGGAAGCUACAGCUCAGGUUCUGAUGAUCCUGGCUCUGAUACCAUGUGAGAUUUAUAGAGUUCUCUUCUCUGGUUGUGUUUGUGUGUGUAUAAACUCCAAUGGAGAAAGAUUAGAGCUUGCUCUAGGUGAUUUAGAAAGAGAUUGAUAAGAGUGUUUAUGAGAGAAUAAGAGACUUAGAACCAGAGAUUAAGAGACUGAGAGAUUAAGAGAAUAAGUGUUUAGAGAUUAGAGUUUCAGAUUCAAGAACUAGUUUUCAUUUCCAUGAAGUGGAGAGGGGAAAUCCCCCUUACUCCCUUAACCUUUACAAAUCGCCAACCUUAGGCUUAUAUAUGCCUUUACAAGAGCAAAUCAUAAACCUAAAUCUAAUGGCUGAUAAUACUUGAAGUUUAAAUGGAUGGUGUAGAUGAGCUGGUCUUGUUUGUCAUGAGGAGAAGGUGAUCAGAUUGGAAAGAAGAGGCUGGCGCCUCAUUGGCUCAUUCAAACUAGGCUGGCUCUUGAUUGGUUCUUCUUUGGCUCCUUUGUAUCAAGCUUGGAAUCAGUCUAGGUUCAUAGUCAAGGCUGCCUUUACUUUACAGCCAAG
rnacentral:lncRNA from 1 species